CUUAUUCGCAGAUUUUUUUUUCAAGUGGUACAGAAAAGAACCUUCUCAUCGUUCAUCUGCUUUUGCCCCACUUUAUCAUCGUUCCCAAUAAUUCUCUCCAUCAAAGGUGUUAUCAAUGGAGAGAAGAUGAAUUUGAACUAGGUUUUCUACUACAGGUUUCGUUAUAGAGGUUAACUGUGGUAUAAUGGUUUCAAAUGAUAAUGGCGGAAUUGAAGAUGAGAAAUCUAAUGGAGGUAGAGUCAAGACUAUUGCCCCUCUACAUAUCCAAACUGCUCAGAGGGGAUUUCUUAGGGACGAGGAUGCUCAAACUCCAGGUGGUACCAGUAGAACCCCAAGUUUCCUUGUAUUUGGUAAUCUAGGUACGCCAACUGCAAAAUUCCAACGGAUUGCCCAGGUGAGAGAUGACUUCUCACGCACCAUACCUUCCAGCACUAGUCAAGCAAUUCGAGAUCGCUUCACUAGGGUCUUCUCUAAGAAAAUUGAUUGGGUGUCCCUUCAGAAAUUGGCCAAAGAAUGGAUAAGAAACCCAAUGAAUAUGGUUCUUUUUGUGUGGAUUGUAUGUGUUGCUGUCUCAGGUGCGAUACUUUUCCUUGUCAUGACAGGUAUGUUAAACCACGUCCUUCCAAGAAAAUCUCAGAGAGAUGCUUGGUUUGAGGUCAACAACCAAAUUCUGAAUGCGCUGUUUACCCUCAUGUGUCUGUACCAACAUCCACAUCGGCUUUAUCACCUUGUACUCCUCUUGAGAUGGAGAUCAGAAGACGUUUCAAAAUUGAGAAAAUUAUACUGCAAGGAUGGAACUUACAAACCUCAUGAAUGGGCACACAUGUUGGUUGUGAUCUUGCUGCUUAACCUUAAUUGUCUAGCACAAUAUGCUUUAUGUGGACUCAAUGUUGGGUACAAGAGAUCAGAGAGACCAGCAAUAGGGGUGGCAGUAACUAUCUCUGUUGCAAUUGGAGCCCCUGCAAUUGCUGGUGUGUAUUCUGUUGUCAGCCCGCUAGGGAAGGAAUAUACUACAGCUUCUGAUGAAGAAUCCCAACUUAAACCGGAAAGUGUUUCAAGUAGUCGACCAAUGCAACCAAGGUUGAAAUCAUUUGAAAGGAGAUACUCAUUCACCCCUAAAGAUGAGACAAGAACAAUUGAAAGUAGUCCGAAGUGGAGUGGAGGUAUAUUUGAUUUUUGGGAGGAUAUCUCUUUAGCAUAUCUCUCGUUGUUUUGCAGUUUUUGUGUUUUUGGGUGGAAUAUGGAGAGACUUGGGUUCGGAAACAUGUAUGUCCAUAUAGCAACGUUUCUUCUGUUUUGUUUGGCACCUUUUUGGAUUUUUAAUCUGGCUGCCAUCAAUAUUAAUGAUGAGACUGCAAGGGAGGCAUUGGGGAUUACAGGGAUAUUUCUCUGUGUAUUUGGUUUGCUUUAUGGUGGAUUUUGGAGAAUUCAGAUGAGAAAGAGAUUCAAUCUACCCCCAUCUGAUAUCUGUUGCAGUAAACCUGCUGUGACUGAUUGUGCAUUGUGGCUCUUCUGCUGCUGGUGUUCACUUGCUCAGGAAGUACGCACUGGAAAUUCCUAUGAAAUCAUGGAGGAUAAGUUUUACAAGAAACCAGAUGACGAAGCUCGUGAGAUUCCUAUAUCAACUUUGCCACAAGAAGGAGAAGAAUUUGGUUUCAGAUCUGGCCCAAGCUCUCCACUUCCUAAUAGCUCCUUUUCGCCCUAUAAAGCCAACACUGCCAGUCCUAGUAGGUUUCUAAAGCAACAUCGAAGCCCAACCAGCCAGCCAUCAGUUGUUGAAGAGGAUUUUCAUUCAAGAGAAGAUGGGACCUGCAAAAUGGUAUAAACGAAGCGAUUUGAGCCAUGAAAUCGAAUACCAAUGUCAACAAAAUGCCUUCUGAUGGUUGUAUUACUGAAAGUUAGAGAUGCCAGUCCAUUGCAGACAAACUAGAAAGUGGCACCGGUUCCAGAUGAUGCUAGAUUUCAUAGCUUCAAGCAGACUCUCGAGUCAACUUAAAUUAUGACGAAUGCAGAGGGAUUUUGAUCUUUCGAUUUGUUCAGCAUACGACCCUGGUGAUUUCCAUUGGCAUCCUAGAACGCCAGGUUCUGAUUGUAAGUUUCUUCAAACCCCUCUUUACACUUGAAAUACUAAAAUCCUUAUAAUUGGGGUUGCUCUCACUAUAAUGGAAUUGCCAGUUGCUACAUAUAGACCAAUAUAUAUAAGAGAAAGAUGGUUCCAUUUACAAACUCAACCAUUGGGGCCUAAUCAA